ACAUUAACUCUGGCAGAACAAGGGACCAUUCCCAGGUCGUCAUGGCCACCAGGAGAUCGCUCCAAGCAAUCUUGUACUGUCGCCGAGUGGCUCCAUCGGAUCGGACGAGCCUUGAGUGAAGAACUUGCACAGGCCUUGACACUUGAGUCGCUACAACAGCAUACAGAAGACUGUCGGUGGUAUCGACACCUGAAAUUGGUGGAUCAACUUGUUUGAGCAAUGACACAUGCACGACGGGAUGGAUCUUGCUUGAUGGGGGCAACGUCAAACGGUAAGAGACCACACCCACUUUGUCAAGCACCUGAUACGGCCCAAAAAACAUGAAAGCCAACUUAUGAUUGGAGCAUUGAGAUACAAAUAACUGCAUAUAUGGUUGGAGUUUCAAAAAUACCCAGUCCCCCGGUUGGAACACUCUGUCCGAGCAAUGUUUAUCC
rnacentral:lncRNA from 1 species